rnacentral:lncRNA from 1 species
CUGGUGGCUUCACAUUUCACAUUUCACAUAAUAAUGGUCCAGAAUUGUUUUAUAUGCUUCAUUCAUAUAUGGAAUUUGCCGCUACAUGAUAGUAUAAUGUAUCAUUUCCAAAAUAAAGUCCAAGUUCAUGAGAUUGAAAAUAAAUAAAAAUCAAUGAUUCAUGUAUGAGGAAGCAAUAAGUAUAUAUGCAUGAUUUCCCCGUCCAUGUAUAUCCAAAAAGAGUUGUGUAGAUAAAUGGCAUGCACAUGACACCUCAAAUUUGUCAAGAAGAACACUCAUCAACCUGCAUGGCACCAUUUAUUAAGAAAAUGAUCUAUAAAUAUGAGUGAUCUUAGUCCCAGUUUUCAUCAUUGAGUGUAAUCUAAUAUAAUCAAAUAUGGCUAGGAUGAGAGUGAGAUUUCCAACCUUAGUCUUGCUACUAGGAAUAUUAUUCCUCAUGGCAGUGUCAAUUGGUAUUGCUUACGGAGAAAAAGAUGUGAUAAAGAAUCAUGAGAGGCCUGGCGAAAGAGAACAUGAGGAGCGUGACCCAAGACAACAACCACGUCCGCGUAAACAAGAGGAGCAAGAAAGAGAGCAUAGGAGAGAAGAGGAGCAUGAUCGUGACCCUUCACGUGGUAGGAGGGAGAGCGAAGAACGCCAAGAAGAAGAGCGUGAACGAAGGAGAGAACCUUGUAGGGAGAGAGAGCAAGAACAACAACCUCAACAUGGAAGGAGAGAGGAGGAAGAAGAAGAGGAAGAGUGGCAACCUAGGAGACUACGACCUCAAAGUAGAAAGGAAGAGAGAGAGCAAGAACAAGGCUCUAGCUCAAGCUCACGUAAGCAAAGUGGUUAUGAGAGGAGACAAUAUCAUGAGAGGAGGGAGCAGAGGGAUGAGAAGGAGAAAGAGCAAGAUUCUCGCUCAGACUCACGCAGACAAAGGAAUCCUUAUCACUUUAGCUCUGAAAGAUUCCAGACUCGUUACAGAAAUAGGAAUGGCCAAAUUCGUGUGCUCGAGAGGUUUGACCAAAGAACCAAUAGACUUGAGAAUCUCCAAAACUACCGUAUUGUGGAGUUCCAAUCAAACCCUAAUACUCUCAUUCUCCCUAAACACUCUGAUGCUGACUACAUCCUCGUUGUACUCAAUGGUAACUAUUUGCAAGGUUUUAAAUAGAGGUCGCUAACCUAAAUUUAAAACCUUAGUUACUACUAGUAGUAAUCAUUUCCACCAAUUAAUUAAUGAGAAUGAAUGAUUUAUUGCAUUCAUUAUUUUGGGAUUGCAGGUAGAGCCACAAUCACAAUAGUGAACCCUGAUAAAAGACAAGCAUAUAACCUUGAGUAUGGAGAUGCUCUCAGACUCCCAGCUGGAACAACUUCUUAUAUCCUUAACCCAGAUGACAACCAGAACCUUAGAGUAGUCAAGCUCGCAAUACCUAUCAACAACCCUAGCAAUUUUUAUGUAAUGUUCUUUCUGAUAUCCUAUCAUAUUAUCUUUUAUUAUUAUAUCAUCUCACUUUCUAUGGCACCCAUUUCAUAUUUUACACCAUUAAAUUUUAAUUUCUUCCUCCUUUCUCUCUAUCUUUGUAUAUGUACAGGAUUUCUAUCCAUCAAGUACUAAAGACCAACAAUCUUACUUCAGCGGCUUCAGCAAGAACACUUUAGAGGCCACCUUCAAUGUAUCAUAUCUUAUCUAUAUUGGUUGCUCAGUUACUUAUUGAGUAUAUAUAAUAAUGAUUACAUGUUUGUUUGUUAUGAUUUCAAAUAUAGACCCGUUAUGAAGAGAUACAAAGGAUUCUGUUAGGAAAUGAGGACGAGCAGGAAGAUGAGGAACAAAGGCGUGGACAAGAGCAGAGCUACCAAGAUGAAGGGGUGAUAGUGAGAGUAUCAAAGGAACAGAUCCAAGAAUUGAGAAAACAUGCUCAAUCUUCAUCAAGAAAAGGCAAACCCUCUGAAUCUGGCCCCUUCAACUUGAGAAGCAAUGAAUCCAUAUAUUCAAACAAGUUUGGCAACUUCUAUGAGAUCACCCCAGAGAGAAACCCUCAAGUUCAAGAUUUGGAUAUCUCUCUCACCUUCACAGAAAUUAACGAGGUAUAUUAUAUAUAUCACACUGUAAAUAAUCAUACACAAUUCCUUCUACUUAUUCACUAGUGUUGAGUUUUGGACACCAAUAUUAAUACUAAUGAUUUAAUUUUGUUUUGUUUAUUUUAGGGAGCUUUAUUGUUGCCACAUUAUAACUCAAAGGCCAUAUUUAUAGUCGUGGUUGAUGAAGGAGAAGGAAAUUAUGAAUUGGUGGGUAUUAGAGAUCAACAACGACAACAAGAUGAGCAAGAAGAGGAAGAGGAAGAAGUGAGAAGGUACAGUGCUAGAUUAUCAGAAGGUGACAUUUUCGUAAUUCCAGCAGGUUAUCCAAUUUCUGUGAAUGCUUCCUCAAAUCUUCGCUUGCUUGGAUUUGGCAUCAAUGCUAAUGAAAACCAGAGGAAUUUCCUCGCAGGUACAAUAAAAAUUAUUCUAUUCAACACCAUAAAUUGUAUAUAAGUAUAUUUUACUUAAACCCAAACAAGUAGCUUAAAAGGUAUAUACAUGAUGAUAAAAUUCAUCGCCAGAUCACCAACUAUAUCCUUGGACAUAGCUAAUAUGGCAACAAAAUCUACUUUUGGCAUAAAUACAUCAAUAUAAAAAUAUAUAUUUGUUUUAUGACUUUGGUUUUGGCAUUACUAACUCAUAUUGUUAUGUUUGAAAAUUAUUGAAAAUUGAAAGGUUCUGAAGACAAUGUGAUAAGUCAGUUAGAUAGAGAAGUUAAAGAGCUCACAUUCCCUGGUUCUGCUCAAGAUGUUGAGAGAUUAAUCAAGAACCAACAACAAUCUUACUUUGCAAAUGCUCAGCCUCAACAAAAACAACAAAGGGAGAAGGAGGGAAGGCGUGGAAGAAGGAGUCUCAUCUCUUCCAUUUUGAGCACUCUUUACUAAGCUUCUAUAAAAACUACUAUUAUGUAAGAGCUCAUAGUGAGCCACGAGUGAAUAAUAAAACUAGAGUUGUACCUUUGUACUAUUAUUAAUAAAAAUCUACCUUAAAAGUUUUGCAUGCAGUGACCUUCAUCAAUGUAUGCUCUUAACUAAUUGACUAAUAUAUAUAUAUAUAUAUACUUGUUGCACUCAUUUAUUGAUACUGCAUUUGCUUCUCACUUAAAAGAACAAGAGUUUCACAUACUUCUCAACUAAAUUAUUUUAAUUUUCAAAAUGAAUUCAAAAUAACAACUCAGAUCAUAAGCCCUUAAGCUUUUUUGUUUUAGUUUCUUCUUUAGAAGUAUCAUAGUUAAUAUCUCAUAUUAUCAUCCAAAGGUUUUAUUGAAUUUUAUUUGACUUUAUUUAAUUGAUUAUUGUAUAUAUUAAGAAAAUGUGUUUAUAUAUUUAUGAAAUAAAUUUCAGAAAUUAUAAACGACUAGAACUAGAUCACAAUGGUAAAAUAAUAUAUCAGGAAAAAAAAAAUAAGAAAUAAUUAUGUUGAUAUGAAUUGUUUUAUGAAAUAUAUGAUGCAAGAAAUCAAAAUAUGAUUAUGUUUUAUACAUUUAUAGAUCGAAAUAAGAAGUUUAUGAGACGAUGUUUAUUUUGUGAGAAUAGUCCAAGUAAAACUACAUUGUCAAAAUAUAAUAUACAAUAUGUAUUGAUACUUUUAUAAUAUUUUGGAUGAUAAUUUGAGAAAAGUGGAGACAAAAAUUUGUUAAUAGCAUAUUAUGUAGUAAUAUGACUUUCCAUUUGUCUAAUUCAUAUUACAAUUGGGUUAUUUAUUCAUGCGAAACAAGAAAUGAAUUUGUUUGAUGGAAUGAUUAUUAUAUAAAUUAGGUUCAACAUAUAUUUCACGUACUUCUGUCAUUAUUACCAAAUAGCAUUUUUGUAUAUAUACACAUUAUUAAAUAAACACACAAUAAUAAAAACAGAAUAAAAAUUGAUUUGGGGAUUUAGGGUUGAAGUUUAAAAUUGAUUUGGGGACUUUUGUUAAAAUUGAGUUGGGGUUUUAGGUUAAAAUUGAUAUGGGUUUAGAUUAAAACUUGAUUUGGGAUUUUAGGUUAAAAAUUGAUUUGGGAGUUUAGGUUAAAAUUGAUUUGGGGUUUAAAUUAAAAAUUGACCUGAGGGUUCAAAAUAAAAUUAAUUUGGGAGUUUACGUUAUGAUUGCAAAAGGGGACAAACCAUAUGGCUGGUUGGGCAUACAACUGCCGUUGGCAGUGGCAGCGGCGCUCGCAUUGACGCUGUCAACAAUAAUGGUGAUUUUUAUUUUUUUUAUCACCACAACUCAAUAGUGAAUGCACUUUAUAAUAAAGAAGAAAAAGGAAGACAAGUGAAUGUAAUACCUCUUUAGAGUUGAAGAAGAAUGAAGAAACUAGUGUUGAGUUCUUAUCAGUUGUUGUAUUCACCUUACUCUUUUCUUUUAGUCUUUGCCUCCUCUCCUUUUCAAAAAAAUAAAAAAUCUAAGUGUGUCUCAUUGUAAAAAUUAGGGUUGCCUCCUCCC